rnacentral:rRNA from 1 species
CCUACGGGAGGCAGCAGUGAGGAAUAUUGGACAAUGGAGGCAACUCUGAUCCAGCCAUGCCGCGUGCAGGAAGACUGCCCUAUGGGUUGUAAACUGCUUUUAUACAGGAAGAAAUGUACCUACGUGUAGGUAUUUGACGGUACUGUACGAAUAAGGAUCGGCUAACUCCGUGCCAGCAGCCGCGGUAAU